rnacentral:rRNA from 1 species
UACGUAGGGGGCAAGCGUUGUCCGGAAUCAUUGGGCGUAAAGAGCGUGUAGGCGGUUCGGUAAGUCGGCUGUGAAAGUCCAGGGCUCAACCAUCGCAGUGCCCUUGAUACUGAUGAGCUUGAAUACACUUGAGGUAGGCGGAAUGUGACAAGUAGCGGUGAAAUGCAUAGAUAUGUCACAGAACACCAAUUGCGAAGGCAGCUUACUAAGGUGCAAUUGACGCUGAGGCACGAAAGCGUGGGGAGCAAACAGG